GCUGGGUGUGGUGGUGGGCACCUGUAAUCCCAGCUACUCAGGAGGCUGAGGCAGGAGAAUCACUUGAACCCGGGAGGCAGAGGUUUCAGUGAGCCGAGAUCACACCACUGUACUCCAGCCUGGGUGAUAGAGUGAGACUCUGUCUCAA
rnacentral:SRP_RNA from 1 species